CUGUUUUUUUUUUCCUUAAUUGCAGGAUGCAACAAUUGAGCAACUUCUUCCUAUUUUCCUUUCCCUUUUGAAGGACGAAUUUCCUGAUGUGCGCCUAAAUAUCAUAAGCAAGCUUGAUCAAGUGAAUCAGGUGAUUGGAAUUGAUUUAUUAUCUCAAUCUUUGUUACCAGCCAUUGUUGAGCUUGCUGAGGAUAGGCAUUGGAGGGUUCGACUUGCAAUAAUAGAAUAUAUACCCUUAUUGGCGAGUCAAUUGGGUGUUGGUUUUUUUGAUGAUAAGCUUGGUGCUCUUUGCAUGCAGUGGUUGCAGGACAAGGUUCAUCAAUCCGUGAGGCAGCAGCUAACAACUUGAAGCGCCUAGCUGAAGAAUUUGGUCCUGAGUGGGCUAUGCAAAACAUAAUUCCACAGGUUCGUAUCUUGGCUUUAAAUUCUUAUUUUAGGACAAUACACUAUGCC